CUCCAUGUACUUUUGGGACCUGUUUGCUAUGGCAGUUUCCCUUCCUGGACAUGGAAAAGAAUAUUCUUAUUUAUUGGCACUCUGCAUAUGUAUUAUAU
ensembl:snoRNA